CACAUAACAGCAGAGAACUUGAAGUGCUGGUUUGAGCUUCAGGAGAUGUGAGUUCUAGCCCCAGUGCUGCCUGUGAUUUUCUCUGUGACCUGGGACAAGUCCCUUGUGGAUACGACAGGAUAUGCGGGCUACAAGGAUCUCUGAGGCUUCUCCCAGAAUUUUCAGCUCUUUUGACAAUUUCCAAGAAAAGGGAUGAGUUCCAGCCACCAUGUCAUGAGGAGACCCUGGAUACCCCAGCUCAGAGCCUAGAUUUCCAUUUUCUAGACUACGCUUUGGGUCUUCAACUUCCACGCCAACACCAGAGGAUAAGUAUUUGAGACCCCCACAUUGGUCAUCCAACUAUGAAAAAAUUCUCAUUUUAAGCAUAUACAGCUUAAAAAAAGAAUCAACUUCAUGUAUUUGGAAAACCGUAAGUGCCAUCUUCCAUCAUUCAAAAAUGUCUGUAACAGACCAGCAUUAUUGACAGUUCUGAGCUAGACCGAAGGAACUCUUUUCUAUGACUUCAACAGAAAUAUUUUGUUAUUACAAUGUUUGCAAACAUUUUUAAGGUAUUGUUCAGUCAAAUGAUAGUCCCUAUAGCUUGCAACUCAAAAUAUCAUGGUGGUGAAAUACUCAUUAGUCACCUGCUUUAACUUCAAUGGAAUGUGCUAGGACACGGAGUUUGUAAAAGCAGAUAUUGUCUUGUUAAGCUGUCAGGUCCCAUAAUGUACAGCCUCACGCAAGGACACUGUCAUCAGGAAAAAGGCUUAGAUUAUGUGCCCCAAGUACACCGAGAAACUGGUUUCUGGAAACCCAACUUUUCAAUGAAAGCUUGUUAAAGCAGAGUUAAUGUGUUUCCUACUGUUAUAACAAUGACGUGAGUCACAUAUGUGGUUUCGAGAUUCCUAAACUGGAUCUGCCUGGCUACUGAUGUAAUCAGAAAUAACCUCUGGCUGUUUGAGACUAGAAUAUUCAGGAGGAAAACUGCCCAGCUGAUGCAACUGCUGAUUUUUGUUAAUGCUAUCACCAACAUUCCCAGCAUUCAAAAUUCUUUAAGAUAUUAUUAUUCAUUAAUACUUUGUUUUCAAAUACUUUGUUUUCAUUUGGAAAAUUUAUUUACUAUCAAAGCAAAAUAUUUUUGGGAUUCAGCCUGUAAAUUUAUCUUAAUUCUCACUGUCCUCACUGUCUGAAGGUCCUUUGUUAUUGGGGAAAAGAAUGUGGGGUUAGGUGUCAGGCAGAUUUGCAUUUGAAUUUCAGCUCUGUCACUUACCUGUGUGAUUUCAGAGAGGUUACUGAACCUCUCUGAGCCUUGAGUUUCUAAUUUGGAAAAACAGGAAAUUAUUCCUAUCUCACAAUGUUCUGAAAAUAAUGUUAGACAUAGAGCAGCAUUUGGAAAAACAAGAGAGUACAACAUAGACAACCAGGUAUUUGGACCUAGGCUUGCCUCUAGGGAGCCUGGCUUGAUGAAUCUGCUGGGUUUUGAGCCCUGUGUGCCCAAGACAGAAACCUGCUCUAGUUGUGGGCCCUCCAGCCGGGCUGUCCUCCCCAAGCCCUAAACAAGGGAUUCAUUCUCAUAGAAAGCAAGAGAAAAAUGAUGAGAGGAGGUUGUUGAGCCAGUUUCUUGCAAGAGCAGUCUUUCCUAUGGGAUGCCAUCAGUCAGUUGUUAAGUUUACAAAGCAGCAGGAAUAUGCAACUGAGAAUUUUGACUUUCAAAAUUUCUAUGAGCAGUCUCUUGGUAUCAGAACAAGAAGAUGGCAGUUGUGAAAGGAAGAAGAUCAUGAAAAUGCUGCAAUUUCAGAGGGGCAGAGAUCAGGGCAGAAAAAGAAAUCAUAAGCUUCCUGACACCUGAGGCUGAUUCAUUAAGCAGGAAAGAGGAGGAUGCUUACAAGGUGUUUCAACUACCAGGGACCCAAAAGGUGGGAGUGUAAAUUAGUUCAACCAUUGUGGAAGACAGUGUGGUGAUUCCUCAAGGAUCUAGAACUAGAAAUACCAUUUGACCCAGCAAUCCCAUUACUGGGUAUAUACCAUACCCAAAGGAGUAUAAAUCAUCCUACUAUAAAGACACAUGCACACGUAUGUUUAUUGCAGCACUAUUCACAAUAGCAAAGACUUGGAACCAACCCAAAUGCCCAUCAAUGAUAGACUGGAUCAAGAAAAUGUGGCACAUAUACACCAUGGAAUACUAUGCAGCCAUAAAAAAUAAUGAGUUCAUGUCCUUUGCAGGGACAUGGAUGAAGCUGGAAACCAUCAUUCUCACUAAACUAACACAAGAACAGAAAACCAAACACUGCAUAUUCUCACUCAUAAGUGGGAGUUAAACAAUGAGAACACAUGGACACAGGGAGUGGAACAUCACACACUGGGGCCUGUCAGGGGGUGGGGGGCUAGGGGAGGGAUAGCAUUAGGAGAAAUACCUAAUGUAGAUGACAGGUUGAUGGUUACAGCAAACCACCGUGACACAUGCAUACCUAUGUAACAAAAACUGGACGUUCUGCACAUGUACCCCAGAACUUAAAGUAUAAUAAAAAAGAAAGAAGCACAAAGGAUUUGCUCUGAGGACCACACCACAGUACCUGUGUCCUUAGUCACCUUCCAGGUGGAAAGCAUUCCCAUAUAUACCAUGCAUUUUCACAUUUUCAGCCUCGCCCCACACUAUGAGUCAGGAAUCCCAUUUUGAGAGAUGAAAAACUACAGGCACAGAAACCCUGGAUGACCUAAAAAUUCUCUGUGAAAUCACGCUAGAUAAAUAGCCACAUGUUGCUGCAGUGCGGUAAGUGUCCUUUGGUUUAGACUUCUUUCUUAAUUGCAUCAUGAAAUUGAAUUAUAUCCCGAAGACCUGGGAAAGAGCAGAAGAUGUUAUGCAGUUUAUAAAGUCUUUUCAUGUUUUUGGUGGUUCCAUUCCAAAGGAAGCAAAAGGAAAAUAAUCCAAAAAUUGAAAUGCUGACUUUAAAAUUGUAUAGUGAAACUCCAUGUUGUGGAUUCGCUAUGUUCUUAAGUUUAUUUUUUAAAAGAAGAAGAAAAAUCUUUAAGGAAUAGUAAGCAUCUUUAUCUUAACAAAAUCUGAUAUCCAAAUGAGAAAUUGCUUCCUCUUUCUAAAAAUAAUAAUCACUUACUAUAUUCUGGACAGUAUAAACACUUUGCAAUCAUUAUCCCCUCAACUCAAUGGAGUGGAUAUUAUUACUAUCCUUUUAUUAGAGAUGUAGAAUAGGAGACUGAGAAUUUAAGUGACUAGCCUAAGAACAGUCAGCUUCUAUGUGGUAGACCCAGGAUCUGAACACAUUCUGAUGCCAAAGCAUGUUUCUCUUAUUCCUAAUUAAUUGCAACCCUACAGAAACUGUACUGGCAGAGCAUACACAUUUUUUUCAC